rnacentral:rRNA from 1 species
CCUACGGGAGGCAGCAGUGGGGAAUAUUGGGCAAUGGAGGAAACUCUGACCCAGCGACGCCGCGUGCGGGAUGAAGGCCUUCGGGUUGUAAACCGCUUUCAGCAGGGAAGAAGCGAAAGUGACGGUACCUGCAGAAGAAGCACCGGCUAACUAUGUGCCAGCAGCCGCGGUAAUACAUAGGGUGCAAGCGUUGUCCGGAAUUAUUGGGCGUAAAGAGCUCGUAGGUGGUUCGUCACGUCGGAUGUGAAAAUCUGGGGCUUAACCCCAGACCUGCAUUCGAUACGGGCGAGCUUGAGUAUGGUAGGGGAGUCUGGAAUUCCUGGUGUAGCGGUGGAAUGCGCAGAUAUCAGGAGGAACACCAAUGGCGAAGGCAGGACUCUGGGCCAUUACUGACACUGAGGAGCGAAAGCGUGGGGAGCGAACAGGAUUAGAUACCCUGGUAGUCCACGCCGUAAACGGUGGGCACUAGUUGUGGGGACCUUCCACGGUCUCUGCGACGCAGCUAACGCAUUAAGUGCCCCGCCUGGGGAGUACGAUCGCAAGNUAAACUUAAGAGAGUAGCGUGNGAGAGCGACGACGACGACGAGGAGGAGGAG